rnacentral:misc_RNA from 1 species
UAAUAAGUGUUUAUGGCACUUUUUAAAUCCAUAUCCACCUUGUGUGCAAUGUCAGUCGAUCUUCUUCAUGGAGAUCGACCAAACAUCAACCUUUAUCUUUUAACUCUUUGUCUGAAAAGUAUUAUGAAUAAACAAUUCAAAAUA